UACGUAGGGGGCAAGCGUUGUCCGGAAUCAUUGGGCGUAAAGCGCGCGUAGGCGGCCCGAUAAGUCCGCUGUGAAAGUCAAAGGCUCAACCUUUGAAUGCCGGUGGAUACUGUCGGGCUAGAAUCCGGAAGAGGCGAGUGGAACUCCUGGUGUAGCGGUGGAAUGCGCAGAUAUCAGGAAGAACACCAAUAGCGAAGGCAGCUCGCUGGGACGGUACUGACGCUAAGGCGCGAAAGCGUGGGGAGCGAACAGG
rnacentral:rRNA from 1 species